rnacentral:lncRNA from 1 species
GGCUCCCUGCUCACCGACCCUCGCCGGGAAGGCAGAAAAUGACGGAAGCGACGCGCAAAUUAUGAAUGGGGAAGAGUACUGCAGUGAAGUCUCCAUGCCAGCUGCUUUCAAGUGGAAUGUCUUUAAAAGUCUGCUCUGGGAAUUGCUAAGAGCAAGCAGUCAUUUGGCAGCCUGCAGUGUGAAAGCCAAGCAUUGCACCAAGUCCCUCUGCACCAGACGGGAAACAGGGUCCAAGCUUCCAGCUCCCUUCGUUUUCCAGGAGCAGCACUGCAGGAGCCAAGAACCAAGGAAACUGGCUGUUGAGGGAUGUACAGAUGACCUGCCAACUCCUCCCAGGAAAUCUCAGGGCUCUUGGUUGACUGGACAUUUGGUGCAGCAUUCUUUAAAUCAUGGAAACGUCUGCCUUCUGUUAGUUAAUAGAGACAAAAUCUAUUUUAUCUUUAAAGAACUAGGGAUUUGUGCUAGCAAGAGCUAGCUAAGACCAGCCUUAUCUCCUAGCUUGGUUUUUGGUAUUCUGAGAGGGCAGCAUUUAGUUAAGCUCAGCUCAGCUCAGCAAACUAGUCUGGAAAUGUGGCAAUCUAGGAAAGAUCAUAUUGCAGACUGGAUGAUCACAUAAGAGGAUUUUCCCCUGGGUCACCAGGAAGACAGUACAACAUGGAAGUCACUCAACAGAGUACGUUUGGGGUUGUGAAAUCAAAAACAAAUAAUUUGAGAUGGGGUUUGCUGAAUGAAAUAUCUUUAUGUAAGUGCAGAAAUGAACAAACUCUUGGAAUGUAGUUUGUGCCUGGCAAUGUACAAUUAGGCCCAUAGCUGGGGGGAGGGCAGUCCCCUCCCCCAAAUUUUUUAACCCCGCUUAAAAAUUUUAAUCCACCAACGUAAUUAAUGUGAACAUAUUACUCAUUCACCCCCAAAUUUGUGACAGGAGCCCCAUAUAUAUGGAGCUGGCUUCAGGCCUGUGUACACUACAGAGGAACUGGUAUAUGUGACAUCAAAUGUGCUGGAUGUGGCUAGAUACUGAUCAAAACAAUUAAUUUGAAUUAUUUGUACUUUUAAUUAAUUUGCAUGAUGGUUUUUAAUUGUAGCUGAUGCUUUUGACACAAAUAAAUAAGCCACCCAAUCCA